rnacentral:rRNA from 1 species
AUUGAACGCUGGCGGCAGGCUUAACACAUGCAAGUCGAGCGGGGGAAGGUAGCUUGCUACCGGACCUAGCGGCGGACGGGUGAGUAAUGCUUAGGAAUCUGCCUAUUAGUGGGGGACAACAUCUCGAAAGGGAUGCUAAUACCGCAUACGUCCUACGGGAGAAAGCAGGGGAUCUUCGGACCUUGCGCUAAUAGAUGAGCCUAAGUCGGAUUAGCCAGUUGGUGGGGUAAAGGCCUACCAAGGCGACGAUCUGUAGCGGGUCUGAGAGGAUGAUCCGCCACACUGGGACUGAGACACGGCCCAGACUCCUACGGGAGGCAGUAGUGGGGAAUAUUGGACAAUGGGGGGAACCCUGAUCCAGCCAUGCCGCGUGUGUGAAGAAGGCCUUAUGGUUGUAAAGCACUUUAAGCGAGGAGGAGGCUACUUUAGUUAGUACCUAGAGAUAGUGGACGUUACUCGCAGAAUAAGCACCGGCUAACUCUGUGCCAGCCGCCGCCGUAA